rnacentral:rRNA from 1 species
AUUGAACGCUGGCGGCAGGCCUAACACAUGCAAGUCGAGCGGAUCGGCGGCCGGGUGAGUAAUGCCUAGGAAUCUGGCUGGGAGCGGGGGAUAACGUCCGGUAAUGGGCGCUAAUACUGCAUCAUUUCAGAUGAGCCUAGGUCGGAUUGGCUAGUUGGUGGGGUAAAGGCCUACCAAGGCGACGAUCCGUAACUGGUCUGAGAGGAUGAUCAGUCACACUGGAACUGAGACACGGUCCAGACUCCUACGGGAGGCAGCAGUGGGGAAUAUUGGACAAGGGGCGAAAGCCUGAUCCAGCCAUGCCGCGUGUGUGAAGAAGGUCUUCGGGUUGUAAAGCACUUUAAGUUGGGAGGCGUUACCCACAGAAUAAGCACCGGCUAACUUCGUGCCAGCAGCCGCGGUAAUUC